UCCGUAGGUGGCAAGCGUUGUCCGGAAUUAUUGGGCGUAAAGCGCGCGCAGGCGGUCCUUUAAGUCUGAUGUGAAAGCCCACGGCUCAACCGUGGAGGGUCAUUGGAAACUGGGGAACUUGAGUACAGAAGAGGAAAGCGGAAUUCCACGUGUAGCGGUGAAAUGCGUAGAGAUGUGGAGGAACACCAGUGGCGAAGGCGGCUUUCUGGUCUGUAACUGACGCUGAGGCGCGAAAGCGUGGGGAGCAAACAGG
rnacentral:rRNA from 1 species